AUUGAACGCUGGCGGCAGGCCUAACACAUGCAAGUCGAACGAGUGGCGGACGGGUGAGUAAUGUCUGGGAAACUGCCUGAUGGCGGGGGAUAACUACUGGAAACGGUAGCUAAUACCGCAUACCAUACGACGUGCCCAGAUGGGAUUAGCUUGUUGGUGGGGUAACGGCUCACCAAGGCGACGAUCCCUAGCUGGUCUGAGAGGAUGACCAGCCACACUGGAACUGAGUCGCGGACCGGACUCCUACGGAAGGCAGCAGUGGGGAAUUUUGCACAAUGGGCGCAAGCCUGAUGCAGCCAUACCGCGUGUAUGAAGAAGGCCUUCGGGUUGUAAAGUACUUUCGGCGGGGAGGCGUUACCCGCAGAAUAAGCACCGGCUAACUCCGUGCCAGCAGCCGCGGUAAUAC
rnacentral:rRNA from 1 species